rnacentral:misc_RNA from 1 species
GCAAAUUCUUGCAUCCGAGUUGCAUCAGAGCUGACCAAGUACUCAUCAGCACCAAGAUGUUCCAUAGCCUCCGCUCUCUUCUUGUCUGAAGAACUUAUCACAGUCACAUGGUGUCCCAUUGCCUUGGCUAUCUUCACACCCAUAUGCCCUACUCCACCAAGCCCUAAUAUGCCUCCUCUUAGUCCGCUCUUGUUCAACCCAAAGUGGCUAAGUGGGCUAUA